AAACUCAAAGGAAUUGACGGGGACCCGCACAAGCGGUGGAUGAUGUGGUUUAAUUCGAUGCAACGCGAAAACCUUACCCACCUUUGACAUGUACGGAAUCCUUUAGAGAUAGAGGAGUGCUCGAAAGAGAGCCGUAACACAGGUGCUGCAUGGCUGUCGUCAGCUCGUGUCGUGAGAUGUUGGGUUAAGUCCCGCAACGAGCGCAACCCUUGUCAUUAGUUGCUUACA
rnacentral:rRNA from 1 species